CCUCCUCAGGGACAUAGACUUCAAAAGAGACACCUCCCUACACUAUGAGAGUAAGCUCUCCAGAGACAGAGUGACCUUCAGACACACACACAAAGAGAACUCCAGAAACAGAGAAACUCCACUAGAAAGACGACCCAAAGAGAGAUUCCUCCAAGGACAGAGACACCCUCCCAUCAGAGAUAUGGAGAGACCUCUCACACGGACCAAAGCCAUGCCCUCUGCCCACCACUCAGCUCUCUAGCUGAGCGUCUGUCCUGCCUGGGGCCCUCAGAGAGCGAGCCUGCUUGGGAGGCAGCUGCAAAUGCUCUUGACCAUGCGACCUGCCUCUUCCACCUCCUCUUUCAAGAACUGCAGGGGCAGCUGUGUGGCACAGCGAAUAGAGCACCGGCCAU